rnacentral:misc_RNA from 1 species
GUCAAUAUGUAGGCUACCAUCUCAGAUUAAUAAACAAAAGGCAGAUGGAGCGCGCCGAACAUGCGAGUGAAGCCACCAAAGCGAAUACAAAAUCAAAAGCGAAUACAAAGUCGCAGCAGUGCUAAAGAUAGCGUCGUAUUGUUUAAACGUCUCGAGUGAUUCAUUAUUUUGUGUCAAAAAAUGCCGUCUUGUGUUAUUAAACAUUGUGAAAGUUGUUCCCAAAAAUAAAAAAAGAGGAUGGAAUUUCAUUUCACAGAUUGCCGACAGAUGUUGUUCUACGCGAGGAAUGGGUUUCUAUUAUUCGCCAAAGCAGGCAAGACCAUAAUUGGGAGGCUUCAAAAUUUUGCGUUGUGUGUUCAUUACAUUUUAAAGAGGAUGGCUUAUGCUUUACCGAAAAAUUUCGUAGGUUGAUAAAAAAAAAUUCCAAUGUAAUUAUUUGUAAUACUAUCUAAUCUUUUGGUCUAGUCUUUAAGUUGUCUGUAUAUCGAUGUAUGUGUGUGUAAAUAAAUGAUGAUAAUUAUUAUUAUUAUUAUUAAUAAAUAUUUUAAAUUAUGUAUGUUUUUUUUAUUUGUCUAAUGAAAUAAAUAUGAUACUACUGAAAAACACUAAA